GGGCGAGCCUGUGGUCAGAUGAUAGCAGUCCGUCGACCUCAACAGCCUGCCUCUACCCUGAAGUCAUUAGAGAUGAAAGUUCUUGAGCAGCGUUGAUGUGCAGAGAGUGCUCCGCCAGAUCCCCGAGUCCGUCUGGCCCUUCCUUCUGCGCGGGCGCUGUUCUGGGACGCUGCCUUGUUCCUGAUCUUAAAGGGAAAGCUCUCAUUUCUUCACCUUUGAGAAUGAUGUUAGCUCUGGGCUCAUAUUCCAUCUCAAAUUAUGUUUAGUUCAUGUGGUGUAUCCCACUAAUCCAGUCAUCUCUGAGGUGUGUUGAUGAUGAUGAAUAUCCCGGCAAACCUGGCAAGACUGUGUCCCAGAUCUACCAGUUAACGGUGAGUCAAAUUUUGUGUUCAUUUAGGCUGCAGAAGCCUUUCAGUUUUUGAUUUCUCAAAAAGGGAGUCCACGAAUUGAUGCUAAAUUGGUGUGUUUGUGGGAAUAAGGAGGUCCUCGGCUUCCUACACCAUGUCUUGCUCUAGAAAUAGCACUGCUCCCUUGUUCUCAGCUCCCCUCGGCCCAUCCACCCACUCUUGGAGUACGGCCCCAGCGCUCGUGGUGGCUGUCACACCCACUAGCACCAUAGUUCCAAUAACUGCUCCCUGAGAGUGCGGAGACCAUCCUGGAAGCUUAACUAGUUCUGUGGCAAAGGAGCUCGAGCUCUUGACCAUUCCAGUGUUGGAAUGAUUUAUCGUUUUCUGAGCACUGGGGCCAUCAUUCUGUGAUGCGUUCGUUGUUCAACAAAUAGCGUGGUGUCCUAGGCAGUGGGGAAACAGACCAAGUCCUCAGGCCAUUCCUGACUCCUGUUUCUCUCCUACCACGCGUCUCAUCUCAUCACUAAGUCCAGUGGCUCUACCGGCAAAGUCAGCCCAGUUUGAGACUUCCAGUGCCCUCCUCAACCACAAACUGCUCCAAACCACCAUCAUCUCAUAUGGCCUCACUAUUCCAGUAACUCCUGAGUUCCUCGCUUUACCUCGGGCCCCAUAGUCUAAUCAUAACACAGCAACUGAGCGAAUGCAUAGAAUUGUGAGUCCGAUCUCCUGUUCCUUUGCUCCAGUGGUUUCUCAGAAUAAACACCAGAUUCUUUAAUGUUACCUGAUGGAUCUUACACAAUCUGGCCUCCAUCUCCUUUCUGACAUCUAGUGCUCUCCUCUGUCACUCCACCAUGCUGGCCUUCUUGCUUGAAGCGAUACAUGAUUGACUAUGAAGUAGGGAAGUCAGUCAUUGUCAUACGUAUCCACACAAGUGCUUUAAGAGGAAGAACCUGAACAGAGACAUGAUCCUCACCUGUCAUGUCCUGGCCACCAUCCUGGUGUGCUCUUCCCUUGUCUCCUCCUGGGUGGAAAGAGAACUGCCUGGAGAGGCCUGCGUCCUCGUCCGUGCACCCUUCAAAGACCACAGGAGUCAGACGUGCUGGGAGCCCAAACACAAGCCCAGUGAGUCCCGGGGUAAGCUGCAGCCUCGGGUACCUGCCGCCCCGGCCACUCCUUCCUGCUCCCUGGACACCUGGGCACCGGGAAAACCGGGGAGUGGACCCUUAAAAAGGAUGAACUUCUCAGACUCUCUUGUCCUUCUUCCCUGAUUCUAGCCUACUUUCUCCUGGGUAGAGUUUUCGCGGUCAGCGCCCUUCUUCUCUACUCUGCUUCAACUUUGUGUUGCUGACCUUCCCGCAGUUACUCCCUGAGACCCAGAAACAGUAUGUUUCCUGUGCUGGUGUCUUCAUUGUCACAGGCAAGGAGAGGCGGGAAUGAACUCGGAAGGUCUUGGCUUUGGGUUAGGGUGGGAUUUUCGCUUGAUCUGCUUUUUAAUCACUGUUCAGGAAAGUACAGAGGAAGAGGAAAGUCUAGGAGAAGCACAUCGUCUCAACGGAGGCAGAAGGAAAGUGGGGGGCAGUAGCAAUGGCACGAUUCUGGUUCAUCGAUCACGACCCUGCCGUGAAACCUUGGAGGACUGGCAGAGGCUAAUCGGGAGACCUGCAUCUCCCCUUUCUUGGGUCCACAGGAAACAGAAGACCACUUGUAGGACUGGUUACAUAAUUUGGGCGGCCCGGUGCGAAAUGAAGGUGUGGAGUCUCCUGGUCGAAAAUUAUUAGCAAUUUCAAGAUGCUGACAGCAGAGCUUUAAAGCAAGCAUGAGCUCCUCUGAGUGUAGGCCCCGUGUCGCUGCCCAAGUCGCACGUCCUGGAAGUGAACUCGGACAGUGUAUUAUGCGGUAUGUGAUAACAACAACGUGUGUGGGUGACCCACGCUGUAGUCUCUGGGCCCAUUACACUCUUUAAAAUGAGAGGUUGUCCUAGAAUCAUGAGUGUAGUUAUUUUGUUAGGAGCCCUCUGUCUUCGCAGUUCCCAGCGUUUGGAAGCUGUUGGCGUUUUAAAAUCUCGACCUCGCCACAUGGAUGCCGUCUCAUCGGAAGACACAGAACUGGACCUGGAACCAUGCAGAAGGCGUGAGUGUGGUGCGGAAGACUCCGCGCCCUAAGUGGGGAUUUCUCAGCCAUUCACCCCAAAGACGGUGUCACUGAUUCAGGAAGGCCCUGACUUCUUCCCCUUGUUCUGUUCAUUUCUCUUUCUGGAGCCUCGGGCCACAAGUCUUUUUUGGGGCAGAGGAAGGGAAGAGGUAGCAUUGUGUGUGCGGGGCUAGCAGAGAGGCGGCCUUGCCUUUCGGCUCCUGGAUUACGCAGGUGCCUGUUCGCCGUUAUCUCUGCUUCUCUGUGCUUGCUGGGGGCCUGCCUCACAGGGGUGUCUCCUUGUCCUAAACAAAGCCCUUUCCCCAUCUGUGAAGUUUAGGUUUUAAUAAAAACUCUCUUCCCUC